CUUUUCUCUCCCGACUCCCCCUCUUCUCCUUCGGUGAAACAGGGGGUCCCGUGACCCCCCCUUCUUCUUCUUCUUCCCUCUCGGUCGGACUCCGGGGCGGCCAUGGUGGCCGGCCCCGACGGCGGCAGGAGGCGGCGGAGCAAGCCCGACCACCCCCUGCGGCUGGCGGCGGCGAGCACGCCGGCGCUAACGCCUCUAGCCGAAGCGAAGCAUCCCUUUUUGGGCCAAAAUCCGGCGAUCGGCC
rnacentral:lncRNA from 1 species